rnacentral:rRNA from 1 species
GUCCAGACUCCUACGGGAGGCAGCAGUGGGGAAUAUUGGGCAAUGGGCGCAAGCCUGACCCAGCAAUGCCGCGUGAAGGAAGAAGGCCUUCGGGCUGUAAACUUCUUUUAUCAGGGACGAAGGAUGUGACGGUACCUGAUGAAUAAGCUCCGGCUAACUACGUGCCAGCAGCCGCGGUAAUACGUAGGGAGCAAGCGUUAUCCGGAUUUACUGGGUGUAAAGGGCGAGUAGGCGGGAUUGCAAGUCAGAUGUGAAAACUAUGGGCUCAACCGAUAGAGUGCAUUUGAAACUGCAGUUCUUGAGUGAUGGAGAGGCAGGCGGAAUUCCCGGUGUAGCGGUGGAAUGCGUAGAUAUCGGGAGGAACACCAGUGGCGAAGGCGGCCUGCUGGACAUUAACUGACGCUGAGGCGCGAAAGCGUGGGGAGCAAACAGGAUUAGAUACCCGCGUA